rnacentral:rRNA from 1 species
GACGAACGCUGGCGGCGUGCUUAACACAUGCAAGUCGAACGGAAAGGCCCUGCUUUUGUGGGGUGCUCGAGUGGCGAACGGGUGAGUAACACGUGAGUAACCUGCCCUUGACUUUGGGAUAACUUCAGGAAACUGGGGCUAAUACCGGAUAGGAGCUCCUGCUGCAUAGUGGGGGUUGGAAAGUUUCGGCGGUUGGGGAUGGACUCGCGGCUUACCAGCUUGUUGGUGGGGUAGUGGCUUACCAAGGCUUUGACGGGUAGCCGGCCUGAGAGGGUGACCGGCCACAUUGGGACUGAGAUACGGCCCAGACUCCUACGGGAGGCAGCAGUGGGGAAUAUUGCACAAUGGGCGGAAGCCUGAUGCAGCAACGCCGCGUGCGGGAUGACGGCCUUCGGGUUGUAAACCGCUUUCGCCUGUGACGAAGCGUGAGUGACGGUAAUGGGUAAAGAAGCACCGGCUAACUACGUG